GACGAACGCUGGCGGCGUGCUUAACACAUGCAAGUCGAACGGAAAGGCCCUGCUUUUGUGGGGUGCUCGAGUGGCGAACGGGUGAGUAACACGUGAGUAACCUGCCCUUGACUUUGGGAUAACUUCAGGAAACUGGGGCUAAUACCGGAUAGGAGCUCCUGCUGCAUGGGGGGGGUGGGAAAGUUUCGGCGGUUGGGGAUGGACGCGCGGCUUAUCAGCUUGUUGGUGGGGUAGUGGCUUACCAAGGCUUUGACGGGUAGCCGGCCUGAGAGGGUGACCGGCCACAUUGGGACUGAGAUACGGCCCAGACUCCUACGGGAGGCAGCAGUGGGGAAUAUUGCACAAUGGGCGGAAGCCUGAUGCAGCAACGCCGCGUGCGGGAUGACGGCCUUCGGGUUGUAAACCGCUUUCGCCUGUGACGAAGCGUGAGUGACGGUAAUGGGUAAAGAAGCACCGGCUAACUACGUG
rnacentral:rRNA from 1 species